GUUUAAUUCGAUGCAACGCGAAGAACCUUACCUGGUCUUGACAUCCACAGAACUUUCCAGAGAUGGAUUGGUGCCUUCGGGAACUGUGAGACAGGUGCUGCAUGGCUGUCGUCAGCUCGUGUUGUGAAAUGUUGGGUUAAGUCCCGCAACGAGCGCAACCCUUAUCCUUUGUUGCCAGCGGUUAGGCCGGGAACUCAAAGGAGACUGCCAGUGAUAAACUGGAGGAAGGUGGGGAUGACGUCAAGUCAUCAUGGCCCUUACGACCAGGGCUACACACGUGCUACAAUGGCAUAUACAAAGAGAAGCGACCUCGCGAGAGCAAGCGGACCUCAUAAAGUAUGUCGUAGUCCGGAUUGGAGUCUGCAACUCGACUCCAUGAAGUCGGAAUCGCUAGUAAUCGUAGAUC
rnacentral:rRNA from 1 species